rnacentral:lncRNA from 1 species
GGAAACUGACUAAUAGUACAAACUGAGGUUGGUUGGUUGGUUUGUCCUAAAGAGCUGGUUUGCUACUAUAUCCUGACUAUUGUACUAAUAUGAAAUGCCCCUUUUUCCUUCUCACCCCAAUUUAGGGUGAUCAGCCAUCUCAAUUUGCAGAGAAUUUCAGUAAGUCACCAACAGUCAUGCAGCUGUGUUCCUAACCAACUUGGAAUACACUACCAUGUUAACCGGGUACUGUGACAUGCCCCUGUAAUCUGAGUUAUUUGGGAGGUUUUUGGCUGUGUAGUAUUCCAUGGCAUAUAGGUAUCACAUUUUCUUUAUCCAGUCUACCACUGAUGGGCAUUUAAGUUGAUUCCAUGUCUUUGUGUGUUUUGUCCAAUUCUUUGUUCAAAACACUGAGGACCCGGACAACUCACACUCAAGGCCCUCCAUCUGGUAACAGAAUAGUUGUGAUAGAUACCAUGUGGCCCGCAAAGCCUAAAAUAUUUCCUUUCUGUCCCUUACAGAAAAGGUUUGCCAGUCCCUGGUAUAGAUAAUUCAAAAGCAUCCACUGAGCAGACUCCCUCAGGGAGCCCAGGAAGUCCUUGGUCUUAAGGCCUGGUGGAGACAUGAGCUUUUGCCAUCGCAUGUUUUGUUUUAUAGGAAAUAAAGGAUCAUCUAGGCUUUGAGCCCUGGAGAUUUGGGGAACAGGACAGGAGCUGGAUAGGGAUGAUUAAAAACAAAAUCAAAUGCCCUUUCUAAGCUUCACUAACCUGCUAGCUCUAGAAUUGGAGUUACUCCAUCAAGAUUGUGGAAAAGAGGGUGCUGUCCUGGUGAUAGUGAGUGAGUUAUCAGAAGAUCUGAUUGUUUAAAGGUGUGUGGCACCCCCCUCCCUCCCACUCCACCUCCCUCUCUUUCUCCUGCUGUCACCAUGUAACAGACUGCUUCCCUUCAUCUUCCGCCAUGAGUAAAAGCCCCCUCAAAGCCUCCCCAGAAGCUGGAUAGAUGCUGAUGCCAUCUUUGAAACUGUAAACCUAUAGAACCAUGAGCCAAUUAAACCUCUUUUCUUGUAAAUUACCCAGUCUCAGGUGUUCCUUUAUAGCAAGGCAAGAAUGGCCUAAUACAAUGUCCACGUCCUAGUCCCCAGCACCUGUGAGCAUGUUACCUUGCAUGGCAAAAGGGAAUUGACUAAAGUUGCUAUCAUCUGUCCUUGAGUUGGGGCGAGUAGCCUGGAUUAUCCAGGUGGAUCCAAUCUAAUCACACGGCUCCUUAAGAGCAGACAACCAGUGGCAGCUGCGGUCGGAGAAAGGGAUGUGGUGAUGGAAGUAGGGUCACCUACACACUAUGUUGCCGGCUUUGAAGAUGGAGGAAGGGGGUCUCUGGAGGCUGGAAGAGGCCAGGAAGCAGAUACCCUCCUACAGCUUCCUGAAAGGCACACGGCCCUGCUGACACCUUAAUCUCAGCCCAGUGAGACCCUUGCUGGACUCUGGCCCACAAAACUAUGAGAUAAUAAGGUAAGGUAAGACAUUUGUGUUGUUUUAAUCCACUACGUUUUGGUAAUUUUUAAUACCAGGAAAUUUAAUAGUAAAAUAGUAGAAAAUGAAUACAGAGGGUGAGCUGGGUCCACCUCUUGAAAUCACUAUCUUGCCAGAUUUUCUCAUGUCUCUGAUAUCAUUUUUGGUUGUCUAAAUAUAUUUAGGAUCAUGUUAUGUUUUAGAGCUAGAAAAAAAACCUCAGCGUGUCUUGUGAAUGUCCUAUUUUAUGCUUGAAAAUAAAAUAUUUGAAUCUAAUUAACUUCAUCUUGUUUAUCACUGAUGGACAGAGACUCAAAUUUAACUGUUAUUCCCAGUCUGGAGUGAUUUGCAUCAUACGAUCAGUCUCUCUCCAAAAGCAUUGUAUAAAGAGGAUGUAUGUUUAUUUUAUUUUUGUUUUAUUUUAUUUAUUUUUUUUUGAGAUGGAGUUUCACUCUGUUGCCCAGGCUAGAGUGCAGUGGCACCAUCGCGGCUCACUGCAACAUCCGCCCCUGAGUUCAGGUGAUUCUCUUGCCUCACCCUCCCGAGUAGCUGGGAUUACAGGCGCCUGCCACCAUGCCCAGCUAAUUUUUGUGUUUUUAGUGGAGAUGGGGUUUCACCAUGUUGGCCAGGCUGGUCUUGAACUCCUGACCUCAAGUGAUCUGCCUGCCUUGGCCUCCCAAAGUGCUGGGAUUAUAGGCAUGAGCCACCAUGCCUAACCAAGGGGAUGUAUGUUUAUUGUGCAUAAUCCCUGCAUGAGCAAACUUGAUAAAUGUAGACUUCAUUUUAGCAAUUUUUUGAAAGUCAAAAUAAUACAGAUUGUGUAAAGGUUAUGUCAAUUAUUAAAUUUUUAGUUUAUUUCCACUUAUGUAGGCAUCUAUUUUUGUGAUGUGACUUUGGAGUACUUCCUCUCUUUAAUCUGUUGCAUAUUAUUGGGUAAGCUAUUCAACCUCUUCACCAAAUCAUGAAAUCUGCUUGGAACAUUUGUAAUAACAGAUUUUAAGGAGCAGUUUUGCAUUUUCUAUUUAUUUCAGUCAUAACAAAAACAUUGUAACAGAUUUUUCUUCUACGUGCAGAAACAUGGACAAAUUAUACAAACAUAAUGCUGGGUGAAACUAGACAGACCUAAGAGACUCCGUCAUGAUAUCACUUACAUAAUGUUCAAAAACAUUCGUAAUCUAUUGUGUUAGAAGUUGCUUGGGGGAUGGAGGGAUAUUGGGAAGUGGCGCAGUGGGAAUUUUUAGGAUGCUGGCAAUGUCCUAUUUUUGAUCCAGGUGUUGGUUUCAUGAGUAUAUUCACUUUGUAAUAGGUUUGUCAGCUGUCUCAAGACGUGUGCAUUUUCUGGAUGUAUGUUUUAUUGAAAUUAAAAGCUUUAUUAUGAAUAAAAACAUACCAGAAUCACUGGGGGACACAGCCAAUACAGUGCUUAGCUAAGAACUCCUACCAUUGAAUAGGUAUAGCAAUAAAUAUAUUACAAAGAAAAAAGUUUAAUUUUCAACUCACAGUUAAGAAAUGGACAACAAUAAAAAUAACAAUGAAAAGGGCCAGGUGCAGUGACUCACACCUGUAAUCCCAGCGCUUUGGGAGGCCGAGGUGGGUGGAUCACUUGAGGUCAGGAGUUUGAGACCAGCCUGGCCAACAAGGUGAAACCCCGUCUCUACCAAAAAUAUAAAAAUUACCUGGGCAUGGUGGUGGAUGCCUGUAAUCCCAGCUACUUGGCAGGCUGAGGCAGGAGAAUCGCUUGAGCCCAGGAGGUGGAGGUUGCAGUAAGCCGAGAUUGCGCCGCUGCAUUCCAGCCUGGGUGACAGAGCGAAACUCUGUCUCAAAAACAAAACAAAACAAAUAUCAAU